GUUUUUGACCAGUUUCUUUGUUUCUGCUUACAGCUUGUUUUAUUUCUGACUGCAUAUCUUUUCCAUCCUGAUCUGAGCCAAUUUUACUUGAUGCAGCAAAACCUAGGAUACAAAUGAAAAAAAAUGUGUUUGAAAAGGGUGACCAUGAAAAUACCAACCAGGAACAGCAACAAAAAAUUUUACAGCAUCUCGAUGACCAUGAAAUGACAACUGGGCCUGGGCCAUAGAGCAAUAUGGAAUAAAACCAGAUUUAUGCAAGCUGUCUCCAAUGUCAGAAUAAACUCUAACUACACUUCCUGGAGCUCGACCUGAAGAGUCUGAUGAUGCACACUGUACUUUUUCUGUAUAGACAAAAUUAACAGUACCAAUAAAUAUUAGAUAAUAACUUCUGGCAAA